rnacentral:rRNA from 1 species
AGUGAACGCUGGCGGUAGGCCUAACACAUGCAAGUCGAACGGCAGCACAGGAGAGCUUGCUCUCUGGGUGGCGAGUGGCGGACGGGUGAGGAAUACAUCGGAAUCUACUCUGUCGUGGGGGAUAACGUAGGGAAACUUACGCUAAUACCGCAUACGACCUACGGGUGAAAGCAGGGGACCUUCGGGCCUUGCGCGAUUGAAUGAGCCGAUGUCGGAUUAGCUAGUUGGCGGGGUAAAGGCCCACCAAGGCUACGAUCCUUAGCUGGCCUGAGAGGAUGAUCAGCCACACUGGAACUGAGACACGGUCCAGACUCCUACGGGAGGCAUCAGUGGGGAAUAUUGGACAAUGGGCGCAAGCCUGAUCCAGCCAUACCGCGUGGGUGAAGAAGGCCUUCGGGUUGUAAAGCCCUUUUGUUGGGAAAGAAAUCCAGCUGGCUAAUACCCGGUUGGGAUGACGGUACCCAAAGAAUAAGCACCGGCUAACUUCGUGCCAGCCGCCGCAGUAA